AAAUGUUUUCUGCUCCCUGCGCAUCUCGAAAAUCUUAUUCCUCCUUCCACAUAAAUACUAUUCGACAUAGAUGUACAUAUGAUAAAAUGUAAUCGAAUACAUGGGCUCGUCGACAAUGAAAUACUUGCACAUGUGUUCUAUCACCUCUUCGUACCUGUCUUCCGGUACCUCUUGAAUGGUGAAUCUUAUCGGUACAUCCGCGUCCUUUUUUUUAAUCUCGACAAUUUUCCACACUUUCGGUGGACCAGGUGGCUUUAUCGGAAAUGUAACUGACGGUUCGCAUCCCUCGCUCUUACUCAUUAUAUUUGUUUUAUAAAAACUAUAUUACACGAAGGAAAAUUAUAACAAGUAGCCGGUUACGCGAUGAAAA